rnacentral:rRNA from 1 species
UACGGGGGGGGCAAGCGUUGUUCGGAAUUACUGGGCGUAAAGGGCUCGUAGGCGGCCAACUAAGUCGGACGUGAAAUCCCUCGGCUUAACCGGGGAACUGCGUCCGAUACUGGAUGGCUUGAGUGUGGGAGAGGGAUGCGGAAUUCCAGGUGUAGCGGUGAAAUGCGUAGAUAUCUGGAGGAACACCGGUGGCGAAGGCGGUUCUCUGGGCCGUAACUGACGCUGAGGAGCGAAAGCGUGGGGAGCGAACAGG